rnacentral:lncRNA from 1 species
AAAACACGGAGAAGGCGCCCGUUGCGCCGUCAGUCCGGGAGGUUUCGGGACCCGGGCACAACCCCGCCAUGGCCGGCGGCCGUCCCUGCCCGGCGCAGCCGCCUCUGCCUCGGGGCAGAUCUGGCUCUCACGUCGCCCUUUCUGGCUAAACCCUCCCCAGGGCACGGCUGCCAACGGCACCUUUCAGCAAAGCUGCGAAAAAUCACCAAUUCGCCAGAAACAAACCGAAAACUCGGGCGAAGGAGCCCUUCGCGGCGCGCCCCUCACCGCCCGGCCCGGCCCGGCCCAGGGCAGCGCGCCCGGGGCCCGCCCUGCAGCCGGAGCGGCGCGGGCCGCCGCAGCCCCGGGGCCCCGGCCACUCCCGUCCCGCUGAGCCGGGCUCCGGGGCCGCAAGCCCUGCCCGUCGCGGGACCCGCGCCCCGCCGGGCCGGGCCCUGCUCUAACGCGGCCGCGGUACCCACCAUCUUCGCCGCUCGCACCGGAAAGAACGUCGCGUUGCGGGGCGGGGCGAGAGGUGGCCCGGCAGGGCCUCGCCGCGGCUGCCCGGAGCCCGCCCGCCCGCAGCUGCCGCCCUGGCCCGGAAGCAGGCGGGGCCCGCCCGGCCCGGCGCCGUCUGCCCGAGGAGCCCCGGCCGCCUGGAGCUGCCGGGAGGCGGUGGGUGGCGGCCACGGCGGGUCAGCGCCGGGAGCCGCGGGCCUGCGGGCGCGGGGGCCGCCCUCCUGCCGGGGCCGGGGGCCUGCGGGCGCGCUGGUGUGCCGGGGCUCGGGGCGGGCACAGCUAAAGGGUGUCUCAGAACGGGCCAGGGAGCAACCGGAAAGCGCGGGACCCCCGGCUGCGCUGGGUGACAGCACACGGGGCAGCUUUAGAAAUAGCCGCGGUUUCCUCCGGUCACCUCGGUUCUGUGGGGAUGAAAUGCAGUCCCUCAGUCACAGAGCAGGUAAGGAUAACUGUCCUUUUGCUCCUAAAACCUCCUUUGCUUCCCAGUUAAAGCUGGCUGGGGUGAUUAUACUGUUGAUUAACAGCAUUUGA